AUUGAACGCUGGCGGCAUGCCUUACACAUGCAAGUCGAACGGUAACAGGUCUUCGGAUGCUGACGAGUGGCGAACGGGUGAGUAAUACAUCGGGACGUGCCUAGUAGUGGGGGAUAACUACUCGAAAGAGUGGCUAAUACCGCAUGAGAUCUACGGACGAAAGCAGGGGAUCGCAAGACCUUGUGCUACUAGAGCGGCCGAUGGCAGAUUAGGCAGUUGGUGGGAUAAAAGCUUACCAAGCCGACGAUCUGUAGCUGGUCUGAGAGGACGAUCAGCCACACUGGGACUGAGACACGGCCCAGACUCCUACGGGAGGCAGCAGUGGGGAAUUUUGGACAAUGGGCGCAAGCCUGAUCCAGCAAUGCCGCGUGCAGGAUGAAGGCCUUCGGGUUGUAAACUGCUCUUGUACGGAACGAAAAGCCCUGGGUUAAUACCCUGGGGUCAUGACGGUACCGUAAGAAUAAGCACCGGCUAACUACGUGCCAGCCGCCGCCGUAA
rnacentral:rRNA from 1 species